rnacentral:misc_RNA from 1 species
ACACAAGCGAAAGCAAGUGUUUGAAGUGGGUGACAAGGUGACGGUGUUCCUAGAGGUGACGGUGUUCCUAGGCGUGAAAGGUUUCCCAUGGGUUCUUAUAGCAAGUUCCAACCAAAGAAAUAUGGACCUUAUAAAAUUGUCAAACGAAUCAAUGAUAAUGCAUAUGUUAUUGAUUUGCCAGAUAGCAUGGGAAUUUCGUGAACUUUCAAUACAGCUGAUUUGUAUCCAUACCGCUCAAUGGAUUAGCCUUUGUAUCCUCUUAAUGACUCAAACUCGAGGUCAAGUUUUUCCCGAGUGGAGGAGACUGAUAUGGAAUGUAUUAGUGAUAAUUUUA